rnacentral:rRNA from 1 species
GACGAACGCUGGCGGCGUGCUUAACACAUGCGAGUCGAACGGAAAGGCUCCAGCUUGCUGGAGUGCUCGAGUGGCGAACGGGUGAGUAACACGUGGGCAAUCUGCCCUGCACUCUGGGAUAAGCCUGGGAAACUGGGUCUAAUACCGGAUAGGACCUUUCUCCUCAUGGGGUUUGGUGGAAAGUUUUUCGGUGCAGGAUGGGCCCGCGGCCUAUCAGCUUGUUGGUGGGGUAAUGGCCUACCAAGGCGACGACGGGUAGCCGGCCUGAGAGGGUGAUCGGCCACAUUGGGACUGAGAUACGGCCCAGACUCCUACGGGAGGCAGCAGUGGGGAAUAUUGCACAAUGGGCGAAAGCCUGAUGCAGCGACGCCGCGUGAGGGAUGACGGCCUUCGGGUUGUAAACCUCUUUCAGUAGGGACGAAGCGCAAGUGACGGUACCUGCAGAAGAAGCACCGGCUAACUACGUG